UACAUAGGGGUCAAGCGUUGUCCGGAUUUAUUGGGCGUAAAGCGUAUGUAGGCGGCUAGGUAAGUCAGGCGUGCAAGCCCGUGGCUCAACCACGGAAUUGCGUUUGAAACUGCUUAGCUUGAGUACAGGAGAGGAAAGCGGAAUUCCCAGUGUAGCGGUGAAAUGCAUUGAUAUUGGGAAGAACAUCUGUGGCGAAGGCGGCUUUCUGGUCUGUUACUGACGCUGAGAUACGAAAGCCAGGGGAGCAAAGGGG
rnacentral:rRNA from 1 species